GGUUGUACUAGCUGUGAAAGUCAGAGGCCACCAGGCAGCUAUCGUGAGACCAAAGGCAGUAGUCAGCUCAGGCAAGCCGGUUUCCUUAUUUAUGUCAAAUUCCUCAGUCUUGGGUCUCCUUAUCUUUUAAAUAAGGAGUUAGAAUAGAAUUUGAGGGCUGUUCACUCAGGCAUCCAUGGUGGCUGCAGCAUAAGGAGUGUGUGGUGUCAGGAUGGGAAGGGCAACAUGGAGACUGCAUGGCCAUUGACGUCUGAAAGUCUCUGGUUGCCAAAAAGAAUCUAUCUACAACAGCAUUCAUCCUGACAGCAGCCAACAGGCAGCCUAGACCUGGCAUGCCACAGCUCCUCUAGGCUCUGAACCCCUCUCAGCUGAGCCUGGUAGAUGCCAGCUGACCGGCUGCAGCCCCUGAGUAGAGGUUGGCUGUCCUAGCAAUAGAGUAGGGCGGGGGCACAGCAGACAUGGGACCAUCAUCUGGAUUCCUAGACGUGCAACUGCAAGUUUGGGAUGUGAUGGAGAACGAGCUGCACAAGUCUCUGGGCUCCUGUAAAAGAUUGGUUGCAGAAAUGUCCUCAGAGUUGUUGGGAGGAUUCAAUAGAAGAUGCAUGCAAAGCACCUGGCUGAAUGCCCAGAGCCCUGCAGACACUCAGGAAUGAGUAACCAUGCAGAUUUUCUACGCCUUUAGACCAGAUAUUCUAAGAAACUUCCUGCUAUAGAUUAACUAGAUCCUGAUUGUGUUUUUCAUUUCCAGGCUUAGAAGAAAUAAAGGAAAUAUCCCAGGAGCAAAAACAAAACACACACAUGCUCCUCUCAAGAGUCACUGGCAUCCCAGCUGAAAAGUCAGCUCUACACCUAUGGGACCUAUGGGCCUGUUUCUGAGCUCUGUUUUGUCUCUUUGGUCUGAGUGUCUAUCUGAGGCCAAUACCACAGUACCAAAUGCGAUUGCUUUAGAGGAAGUCUUGAAAUCAGAUGAGGCUGAAGGCUGUUGAAUUAUGAGAAAGCGUCAUUUGAAGAGAUGGAUGCCUGUGACCCCGCCAGGCUCUGCAGACCUGGAGGCGGCUCCAGAUCUGGGGUGUGCGGCGCAUUGUGUGUCCAACAGGGAGCAUAACUUUCGCAUCUCAGUCCUUCUCCAUUUCCUGAGGCUUCUUCAGGCUCUGGUGUGUGGUCCACCCUGGAGAAUGUCUCGCUCUCCUCUCGAGAGGAACGUGGCUGCGGCUCUGCGUGGACCGUUUGGCAGAGGCUCAUAUGCUGGAUCCACUGGUUGGUUCACGGGGUUCAUUCCUGUCUGUUGAUCUUCUACCUAGUGGCUCCAUCACUCAUUCAAGGUAGGACCAGUGAAGUCACCAACGUUCACUGUCAGAUUGUCUAUUUCUCCCUUUAGUUCUGUCGUUUUUUACGUUGUGUAUUUUGGGGCUCUGGUGUUAGGCGAUGUGUGUCCAUAUAUUUCUCCCUUUAAUUCUGUCCGUUUUUACUUUGCAUAUUUUGGGCUCUGGUGUUGGGUGAUAUGUGUCCAUAUUUGUUACGUCUUGGGAGAGAUUGACCUUUUUGUUUUUAUAAAAUGUCCUUUUGGUGUCUCAAACAACGACUUUUGGCUUAAAGUCUAUUUUGUCUGCAUUCAGCCACCCGAUGUCCCUUUUGAUUAUUGUUUACACGGUUCGUCUUUUUCCACCUUUCCCCGUUGGACUCUGACGCGUCUCUGCUGUGGGAAGCGCAUCGCCGCCCCGGCGUCUCUCUCCGCUGCGGGGAGCCCAUCGCGG
rnacentral:lncRNA from 1 species